UCAGUGAGAAAUGGCAUCAUGCUAAUCCAUAUGUGAAUCACCAAGGAAUCUAUGAGCUGGAUGAAUAUCAGAUCAUGAUGGUAUCAAUGAGGAAGACUGUUGUCCCAUCUUCGCUGCCUGUAGUUCAUCACGCAUUUGAGCUAUCAUAUGAUUUUGGUCUUCUACAAGUUUCUGCAAACUAUUAUAAAUAAUUAAACUUUUUAGUCUCUCAAUUUUUCUUCCAAUAUACAUUUAUAGAUCUUUUCAUUCAAUUUGUUGUUAGUUUUUCAAAUUAAACUACUUUUUAAUCCUUAAAUAUUAUAAUUAUUUUCAGUUUUGUUCCUCAAUUUUAUAAUUACUUACAAUUUCAUCUUUUAUAUUUAUGUUUUCAUCUUUCUGUCUCCAAUUGAUGAAAUUAUAAAUAAUUGUAAAAUUAAGGAAUAAAAUUAUAAAU
rnacentral:lncRNA from 1 species